UACGAAGGGGGCUAGCGUUGCUCGGAAUCACUGGGCGUAAAGGGUGCGUAGGCGGGUUUCUAAGUCAGAGGUGAAAGCCUGGAGCUCAACUCCAGAACUGCCUUUGAUACUGGAAGUCUUGAGUAUGGCAGAGGUGAGUGGAACUGCGAGUGUAGAGGUGAAAUUCGUAGAUAAUUCGCAAGAACACCAGUGGCGAAGGCGGCUCACUGGGCCAUUACUGGCGCUGAGGCACGAAAGCGUGGGGAGCAA
rnacentral:rRNA from 1 species